AAAUAAUAACAGAUCAGGGGAAGGAGUUUGUGAACCAGCUCAAUGACAGUAUCUUUAAACUGCUGAACAUCCAGCAUGCUGUGUCCAGUGCAUACCACCCCCAGACCAAUGGACAGGAUGAAAGGACAAAUCAAAAUAUAAAGCGUGCUCUGAGGAAGUACGUCAACGAAAGCCAUAAUGACUGGGACCUUCACCUUCCU